GGUGAGGCAGUGCAGCAGCCGUCUGAGCGCUCUCUAUAUGGGGCCCUAGGCGGCUGUCUAGUUUGCCUUAUAGAAAGCGCCGGCCCUGGCUCACCACACAACGAUACCCACGCCGGCAUAUAAACGAUCAGUGAUACCAAGGCUUCUCAACGCAGCGAAAACAACAGUCCCCAUUUUCUGGAAGCAACCACGCACCCCUCCACUCAGGCGAUGGAUGGAGGAGGUGGAGGACACAUGGAAUUUUGAAGACCUGAAGGCAACCACAGCGAAGGCAAAAGAAAAAUACACGAAGAGAUGGUUCUACUGGCUGAGAUAUGUCCCCUCAGAUGACUUUGUGUCACUCCUGAAUGCAGGCGAGGAGCAGGCAGGAGACUUGUGAGAAUUGACCACCUGUGGUGCCAGCGGGGCGGGACAAACCGGGGCAGAGACUGGGGAUAAAGAUCGACUGGACGGCAGAGGUGUCCACGCUCCUCAAUGCUACCCCCUCUCCUAACCCCCCCAUGCCCCUCUCUUCUCCGCUCCUUCCCAUUUUCCUCCCCUUCCUUCUUUCCUUGUCCCAGAACUUUGCCCACACAGACACCCAGACAUAAGAAUAUGAACUGAACUCCCUGGUGAAUAUGAGUGGGACACGCACACAUACCCACAUAUCACACAAUACGAUGCUAGGGCCCGCUACCGACGUUUCUGACAACGUCACCCAUGACCCCACCUGACGGUGGACGUACACCACGAUACACACACAGUCUACAGGGACACAUAACCAUUCGACUACCUUAUCACGUGUAAUCCAACACCACCGAGAAAGAGAUACCUACACCUGACAUGACCCGAUUAUACACGGCAGGGCCACUCACAUUGCAUUAUGCAACUACAUAAACGUCUCGCCAGCCUGGCCACCUACACAGGUGUGGACAACAGACAGCGCACGGAAAACACAAACCUGGCUAUUAUUUAGGCGCUUGCACACCUCACGCUAGGUAUCUGUCAGGAAUAUGGGGAAUCCUAACACAGAGUGUAAGUAAAGUAGUAACGUACUGGACCUUAGAAUGGCCGGACUGAUGUUACUGAGAGAAAGAGAAUAAAAAGGAAUAGACGAGGUCAGGGAAGCCAGAGGUAGGACAAAACAAGAAUAACAAGCCGGGUCAAACGGAUACCAGAGAGAAGAAUAGUCAAGACUAGCCAAAGUUCAAAACCAGAAAAUAUACCAAGAAUAUAACGCGCUAUCAGGACCAAGAGGAACCACAACAGGGCAAAGAUCCUAACUCAUGGGAGCCUUUUUAUAUUGUGACUGGAUCUGUCUGGGAUGAUAACCACGCCCCAAAAGUAAUUUGGCUCUGCCCCCUUUUUCGCUGCAUUUUGGCUCUGAGCCAGACUUUAUCACCUGGAUAAUACACAGGAGCAGGCAGCCUAUGAGCAUCGGCAAAAUUUUUCGCGUCAUAAAAAGGGGCGGGGCUGUUGCGGCUGGCGCAAAAAUGACUAGAGUUGCUGGAAGAUUGCCAGGUCAUCUCUCAGAGUCCUGCAGAUGAACUCCACUGUGACCAGACUCCUGAGUCUCUACAAAAGGUACCCUGACAGUAUCAUACUCAGCCUCUACUCAUCCGAUGCCGCACCAACUGUGACCAUACAAUUCAUGCAGCACUGAGCAAGAUGCAUAUAUCUUAAUUAAUAAUAAGUUAUUAAUUAAUAACUUAGGAUGGUCACACCAUGCAGCUUAUAAUGCAUACACCCAGAUCAGAACCUAUCUGCAUAUGACGUCCUGAAGAUUGAUAAUAUAUUGUGAUGCAAUACCAGGCCUCUGCGAAGGCACAUGCAAGUCCAUCAUAAAUUAUCAUGCUAAGCCUCUCAGUAGGCAAUAACGCAACGACUAGUGGUUUCAAUUUAUUGAAGGAGUUUCUUUUUUCCUGAAGAAGAGGGGAGUAAUUAAGAAUAACAAUUUCAUUCCAUUUGAAGCCUAAGUUGAUCCUUAAAUAUUUCAGAGUCUCAGCGGUCCAGUUGAAUUCAUAGUUCUCUUUAAGCCCAGUUAAAACCAGAACAGGCAAAUUAGAAUGAAUGUAUUCAACGUGUACACAGUGGUUAUGGUCAAUGUGCCCUAAAACCCUCCUGUGUGGUAUCCCCUUAAACCACACCAAAAUACUUAAACAAAACACUAAUAAAUGGGGUUGAGCAUAACAAACAAUAUACAAUGUACGUAUGUUAAUAAGUAUUCUGAAAAAUAAUAAUGGAAGAAAGAUAAUGCUGCAAGUAAGUAUGUAUAAAAUAAAUGAAUGUGAGGGUUACAGGUAGCACUCACAAGGAUGGAGCCAAAAAUAGCACUUUGCUUUGGUGAAAAAAGCCUCUGGAUCUUAAGAGGGGAUCCCACUCACUUAUGCUGUUGCCUGGAACUUAUGAGUAGUAUUACCUGGCCGGGAUAGUCAGGAACUUUGUUUAAUUUUAUCCAGUUUCACAUCUUUCACCAUAUUCAUAUCUCUUGCUAUUAAGAGUCUAUGUUUCUGGAUUUUAUUAACCUUGGAGAGUAAUUACGUAAAGAAUUGCUGAGUAUAUAUUAGGGGCAUACAGUUGUGCUCAAAAGUUUGCAUACAAUAUGAGAAUUGGUAAUAUAUGCAAUAGCUAGUCCGGAUUAUAAUUGUCAGACAUGCCCCUGGCCAACAAGAGGCCAUACCACCAAGCUAGCUUAUUAACAAUUACAGCUAGCAUUAAAAAAUAAAUAUUUAUUAUUACUUCUAUUAAAGGCCUGGAAAUUCAAGAAUUUAUAUCUGUAUAGUGCUCUUGGCAAAGAAUAUUUGAAUAUAGGAAAUUUUAAGGGUAUUUCGGGGAGAGGAUUUUAAUUUGAUAUGAGUACAUAGUUUGUAGUUUAUCUAUUCACCUAUGUCUAUAUAAUGCUUUAUUUCAAAAGUUCAAAGUGAUUUUUUUUUAAAUACUUAUUCGAUAUCUAGCAAAAAGUUUAGUGUUUCUUCUUAUGUUUCCGAAAUCUGCAAGUAACUACUACCAUGGUUUAUUGGUGAUGCUAUAGUUCAAUCUAUUAAAAAAAAAAAUGAUAAAAAACUAUAUUCUCAAGUUAGUCUUGCUAUUUCUAGUCUGUGUACUUGUCAACUAGUAAUUCCCCUUUAUACAAAUGUGCCGAUUUCAUAUACUCAUAAAUUCACUUUAAUCUGUUGUCAUAAUAAUAUUGUGAAAAUGUUGUGCAAUUAUCCUUUAUAAGCCAUCUGCCAGGUGUCCUAUAUGUUAUUUAUUAGUGAUCCUCAGAUUAAACUUUGUAUCUGAAUAGUGCAUUUGUAUAGUUUCCUUGAGUUUUAAUGUCCAUAAUCUUGGGCCUCUUUGUAAUGUCAAGCUAAUUGCCUUAUAGAUUUUCAUUCCAAG